rnacentral:rRNA from 1 species
UAAUGGAAUAGGACUUSGGUCUUGGUUCGUUGGUUUCGCUUGGCRGAAGUAAUGAUUGAUAGGGACAGUUGGGGGCAUUAGUAUUUAGUUGUCAGAGGUGAAAUUCUAGGAUUUACUAAAGACUGACCAAUGCGAAAGCAUUUGCCAAGGAUGUUUUCAUUAAUCAAGAACGAAAGUAGGGGGAUCGAAGACGAUCAGAUACCGUCGUAGUCUCUACCGUAAACUAUGCCGACCAGGGAUCCGGAGAGUUUGCAUGGAUGACUCCCCGGGCACCUUGUGAGAAAUCAUAAGUGUUUGGGUUUUGGGGGGAGUAUGGUCGCAAGGCUGAAACUAAAGGAAUGACGAAGGGCCCACCCSAAWGC